rnacentral:tRNA from 1 species
GUCUUAAUAGUAUAACUAUUACCUUGGUCUUGUAAACCAAAAAUGAAGACCUAUCUUCUUAAGACAAU